rnacentral:rRNA from 1 species
GACGAACGCUGGCGGCGUGCUUAACACAUGCAAGUCGAACGGAAAGGCCCUGCUUUUGUGGGGUGCUCGAUUGGCGCACGCGUGAGUAACACGUGAGUAACCUGCCCUUGACUUUCGGAUAACUUCAGGAAACUGGGGCUCUUACCCGAUAUGAGCUCCUGCUGCAUAGUGUGGGUUGGAAAAUUUCGGCGGUUGUGGCUGGACUCGCGGCUUAUCAGCUUGUUGGUGGGGUAGUGGCUUACCAAGGCUUUGACGGGUAGCCGGCCUGAGAGGGUUACCGGCCACAUGGGGACUGAGAUACGGCCCAGAAGCCUACGGGAGGCAGCAGUGGGGAAUAUUGCACAAUGGGCGGAAGCCUGAUGCAGCAACGCCGCGUGCGGGAUGACGGCUUUUGGGGUGUAAACCGAUUUGGCCGGUGACGAAGAGUGAGUGACGGUAAUGGGUAAAGAAGCACCGGCUAACUACGUG